UCUCGGCGAUACUUCACUAAGGUCUGUGUAGCCCACAGUGCUGUGGGGAGCAUCAAAGGAGACAACGGAGAGGAGGAGAUGCUCCUUCCAGCUCCACACAAAGGCUACCUGUAGGUCUGGGGAAGCCUGCGGGGCCUCGUGCAGCCGGGAACAAUGAGCUUUGUUUGUUUCAGGCCAGGUCAGUUUCCGUGGGAACUGGAAUACCUUCAGUCUGGAAGAUUCCGCUCCUGCUCCACAGGCUUUCUCAACCAUGAGUUUGCAAGAGAAGUCGAUGGAAGCAAACCUGGCCAUGGCAGAUCUGAUGUUCCCAAAUUUGUCUGGGUAGAGGAAUGAGUCAAAGAAGUGAGAAAGCUCUUAAACUAUACCUGGGACCUUCAUUUUAUGUGAGAACACACCCGGCUAGGCAGGGGCCAGCUGGAACCAUUCUCUGGAGCCCAUUGUUAAAUUUUCAAAGUGAGCGUUUAUUUACACCUUGGAAAUCAGCAAAUGUUACACGUCAGGGUUUGAUUUUUGUUUUAUUGAUUGUCUAGACUUAAAGCAAAGAAUUGAGAAAAUGUUAAUGAUGGGGAUUAAACUGAACAGUGCCCUCAUCUGGGCAUUUAAAAUUUU